rnacentral:sRNA from 2 species
ACUAAUCAUUUUUCGAUUAUUAAAUAGGAAGCGGGGGAACCAAUUUAGGGGCUUAUUUUUGGAGUGUUUCCAGAAAAGAACAUCUCUCAGUUCUCGUCCGUCAGCUAACCUCGUAGGCAUUGAGAGGAGACUAA